UACAGAGGUCCCAAGCGUUGUUCGGAUUCACUGGGCGUAAAGGGUGCGUAGGCGGUCGGGUAAGUCUGAUGUGAAAUCUCACAGCUUAACUGUGAAACUGCAUUGGAUACUAUCCGGCUAGAGGAAUGGAGGGGAGACUGGAAUACUUGGUGUAGCAGUGAAAUGCGUAGAUAUCAAGUGGAACACCAGUGGCGAAGGCGAGGCUCUGGACAUUUCCUGACGCUGAGGCACGAAAGCCAGGGGAGCAAACGGG
rnacentral:rRNA from 1 species